rnacentral:lncRNA from 1 species
UCUUAAUUAUAAGUCCAAGAGAAUUUAAUUAAGUCAAUUAGUUGGCAUAAUUAUCCUAAUUUUAUCUCUUCCAUAUCUCCUAAUUAUCUCUAAGAUGCAUGUGGAAUAGAUGAAAGAAUGAGUAGCGUAAUUUUUUUUUUGAAAAUUAUUGAGCACCAUAUCCUAGAGGAGCCUACCCCCUCUUAUGUGUCAUGGCGUGAAGGAGAGAGGGUAGGAUCCAUGCCCCAUCUCUUAUGGCUGG